GACGAACGCUGGCGGCGUGCUUAACACAUGCAAGUCGAACGGAAAGGCCCUGCUUGCAGGGUACUCGAGUGGCGAACGGGUGAGUAACACGUGGGUGAUCUGCCCUGCACUUCGGGAUAAGCCUGGGAAACUGGGUCUAAUACCGGAUAGGAGCCAUUUUUAGUGUGAUGGUUGGAAAGUUUUUUCGGUGUAGGAUGAGCUCGCGGCCUAUCAGCUUGUUGGUGGGGUAAUGGCCUACCAAGGCGGCGACGGGUAGCCGGCCUGAGAGGGUGGACGGCCACAUUGGGACUGAGAUACGGCCCAGACUCCUACGGGAGGCAGCAGGGGGGAAUAUUGCACAAUGGGCGCAAGCCUGAUGCAGCGAAGCCGCGUGGGGGAUGACGGCCUUCGGGUUGGAAACGCCCUUCGCUAGGGACGAAGCUUUUUGUGACGGUACCUAGAUAAGAAGCACCGGCUAACUACGUG
rnacentral:rRNA from 1 species